AGUGAACGCUGGCGGUAGGCCUAACACAUGCAAGUCGAACGGCAGCACAGUAAGAGCUUGCUCUUACGGGUGGCGAGUGUCGGACGGGUGAGGAAUACAUCGGAAUCUACUUUUUCGUGGGGGAUAACGUAGGGAAACUUACGCUAAUACCGCAUACUACCUACGGGUGAAAGCAGGGGAUCUUCGGACCUUGCGCGAUUGAAUGAGCCGAUGUCGGAUUAGCUAGUUGGCGGGGUAAGGGCCAACCAAGGCGACGAUGCGUAGCUGGUCUGAGAGGAUGAUUAGCCACAGUGGAACUGAGAGACGGUCCAGACUCCUACGGGAGGCAGCAGUGGGGAAUAUUGGACAAUGGGCGCAAGCCUGAUCCAGCCAUACCGCGUGGGUGAAGAAGGCCUUCGGGUUGUAAAGCCCUUUUGUUGGGAAAGAAAAGCAGCAGGUUAAUACCCCGCUGUUAUGACGGUACCCAAAGAAUAAGCACCGGCUAACUUCGUG
rnacentral:rRNA from 1 species